AGCUCCAAUAGCGUAUAUUAAAGUUGUUGCAGUUAAAAAGCUCGUAGUUGAAAUUGUGCUGAUGUCGUCGCAGGUAACGACCAGGGUCGUUUACUGCAUAGACGUCGCUUCGUUUCACUUUAAAGUACUUUACUGUGCUUUACUGUGGACGCUUACUUUGAGAAACUUAGGGUGUUUCAAGCACGUUGUCAGUGUGAAUAUUCCAGCAUGGAAUAAAAUUGUAUGGCUCAAUGUCUGCGUUUUUGGUCCGUGGGCUUUGGGCAAUGAUUAAUAGGGAUGGUCGGGGGCAUUAGUAUUUUGGCUGUCAGAGGUGAAAUUCUUAGAUUUGCUAAGGACUAGCAACUGCGAAAGCAUUUGUCAAGGACAUCUCCA
rnacentral:rRNA from 1 species